AUGAAAGAAGACAAUUUGGCGCGUCGCCCUAUUUGGGCUAGGGAGAUAGCGAGUUCAACUCUCGCCUUUCAUA
rnacentral:tRNA from 1 species